rnacentral:pre_miRNA from 1 species
UGGACAGAUUACUGUAUUCGACUGUAUUCACGGCGUGAAACAGGGGAUUACACUAUUUUUAAACGGAAAGUGUAUCAAUUAACAUAAUAGACUCCU